rnacentral:rRNA from 1 species
GGGUUGCGGCGUCUACCAUGCAAGUCGACGAUGAAGCCCAGCUUGCUGGGUGGAUUAGUGGCGAACGGGUGAGUAACACGUGAGUAACCUGCCCCUGACUCUGGGAUAAGCGUUGGAAACGACGUCUAAUACUGGAUAUGACUACUGGUCGCAUGGCCUGGUGGUGGAAAGAUUUUUUGGUUGGGGAUGGACUCGCGGCCUAUCAGCUUGUUGGUGAGGUAAUGGCUCACCAAGGCGACGACGGGUAGCCGGCCUGAGAGGGUGACCGGCCACACUGGGACUGAGACACGGCCCAGACUCCUACGGGAGGCAGCAGUGGGGAAUAUUGCACAAUGGGCGAAAGCCUGAUGCAGCAACGCCGCGUGAGGGAUGACGGCCUUCGGGUUGUAAACCUCUUUUAGUAGGGAAGAAGCGAAAGUGACGGUACCUGCAGAAAAAGCACCGGCUAACUACGUGCCAGCAGCCGCGGUAAUACGUAGGGUGCAAGCGUUGUCCGGAAUUAUUGGGCGUAAAGAGCUCGUAGGCGGUUUGUCGCGUCUGCUGUGAAAUCCCGAGGCUCAACCUCGGGCUUGCAGUGGGUACGGGCAGACUAGAGUGCGGUAGGGGAGAUUGGAAUUCCUGGUGUAGCGGUGGAAUGCGCAGAUAUCAGGAGGAACACCGAUGGCGAAGGCAGAUCUCUGGGCCGUAACUGACGCUGAGGAGCGAAAGCGUGGGGAGCGAACAGGAUUUAGAUACCCCUGGUAGGUCCACGCCGUAAACGUU